rnacentral:rRNA from 1 species
UACGUAGGGUGCAAGCGUUAAUCGGAAUUACUGGGCGUAAAGGGCGCGCAGGCGGCGCAUUUUGUCAGGCGUGAAAGCCCCGGGCUUAACCUGGGAACUGCGUUUGAUACGGAUGGGCUAGAGUUCGGGAGAGGAGAGUGGAAUUCCCAGUGUAGAGGUGAAAUUCGUAGAUAUUGGGAAGAACACCGGUGGCGAAGGCGGCUCUCUGGACCGAGACUGACGCUGAGGCGCGAAAGCGUGGGGAGCGAACAGG